CUCCAGAUGUUGCUGAAUUACAACUCCCAUGAGCCUAUGAAUUAAAAAGAUAGGGGAGUUGUAGUUCAGCAACAUCUGGAG